CCAUUAGAUGUCCGGGGCCGCACGCGCGCUACACUGAAGGAAUCAGCGUGGCUUUCUCCCUGACCCGAAAGGGUUGGGAAACCCGUUGAAUCUCCUUCGUGAUAGGGAUUGGGGCUUGAAAUUGUUCCCCAUGAACGAGGAAUUCCCAGUAAGCGCGAGUCAUAAGCUCGCGUUGAUUACGUCCCUGCCCUUUGUACACACCGCCCGUCGCUACUACCGAUUGAACGGUUUAGUGAGGGCCUCGGAUUGGUCUCGGCCCGCUCUUUACCGGGCGGCGCCGUUGGUCGAGAAGACGCUCGAACUUGAUCGUUUAGAGGAAGUAAAAGUCGUAACA
rnacentral:rRNA from 1 species